rnacentral:sRNA from 1 species
CUAAGGUCUGUGCCCAGGGAGGUGGGGCGUGGCGGCUGGGGGCCAGGCAGGCGGGGGGAGGACCUGCCGCGCACUGAGCCCCCUUUGCUGCUAGGAGGAGAUCCGCAUCGAUGCCACUACGGUGUUCGUGGACCCCUAUGAGGAGGCCGAUGCCCAGAUCGCCCAGGAGCGGAAGACACAGCUCGAGGUGGCCCCGGAGACCAAAGUGAAGAGCAGCCAGCCCCAGGCAGGGAGCCAGGGCCCCCAGACCUUCCGCCAGGGUGUGGGCAAGUACAUCAACCCAGCAGCCACGUGAGUGCGGCGGGGCUGGCCUCCCUGUUUUCCAUGGUGUUUCCUAGGGCUGACUGAGGUCUGAGGGUCAGACCCAGAGGGGCACUGGUCCUGGGUGUGGGCUUGUGCUGUGUGGCCUCUGCAGCCGAGGGACUGCCUCUGAAGGCCUGGCCGGGGCCUCUCUGGGUGGAAGAGAUCAAAUUCAGGGGAACGUGGGAGCAGCAGGUGGGAGGGGUUGGGCCUACACUAGGAGGGCCGUAUGGAGACACAGACAAGUCAGGAGGGGCCGAGGGAGGGUGUGGGCUCCCAGCGGCUUCUUCUCUUCCCAGGAAGCGAGCGGCAGAGGAAGAGCCCUCAACCAGUGCCACUGUCCCCAUGUCCAAGAAGAAGCCCAGUCGGGGUUUUGGGGACUUCAGCUCCUGGUAGCAGCAGGCUGCCUGAUGAUGACCGCUAGAGGCAUGUCUGCCCCUUGUCACCCUGCUGCACACCAACCUCUGGCCCUUCAUCGUGCUAAGAACAAGAACUGCGCCAUGGCUGGCUCCGCCUCUGCAGCCUGUCAUCCCUGUCUGUGACCAUUGGUGAGGCCCCUGGGCUCUAGAGUGACUUUUGACGCCCUCCGUGCCUCCAGCCAGGCACGGUCCUCGGCAAGGCCUGGUGCAGCCCUGGCAGUAACUCGCUUCUAAGAGGCUCAGACACCAAGCUGGGCCUGCACAGGAGGGGCACAGUAGGACACAGUGACUGCCCAGGUGUCCACACACCUGUAGGCCUCUGAGCCAGCGUCCGGGGUACAGGUGCGGAUGGUGGGGAUGAAGGCCUGACCAGGGAGGGAGAAGCAGGUUUGGCGAGGACCCUGUGCCCACCCUGACACCCUGGUUGGCCCUGACUGUAUUCUCUGGCCACAUUCAAAUCCCCCCAGUGGUGGGGGCAGAGAAGUAGGACCAGGCCGCCCUUGGCGCCAGAGCUCGAAGACCCCAAGACAGCCGUCUGCCCUCAGCGGCGCCACAGAGAGCCUGGGCUCAGCUUUCUGCAUCAGGACACAGCGUUGUCCACUGAGGGCACAAUUUAAACAAACAUUUGACAUCAGAAGCUUUAUUUGUAAACCUCACACAGAUAAGGACCAAGGGCUAGCGGCGUGGCCAGAGGACAGGGGAAGCUGAAGGCCCCGUGCUUGAGCUCGGCAGUCCUGCUCCUUGCAGUGAAGCCACCGUGGGUGACCGUCCAGCCUCACCUGGUGGCCUGCACAGUGAGGGAAGGGCUUCAGGGCCAUCUGCCCCCGGGGCAGGGGACAGGCCACCACGGACCUUUGGCAAGUGAAGGUUUACAUUUCUGUAGUUUGUUUUAGAGCUUAAUUUGUAGUUUUUUAGCUAUUAAAACCACUUGAAUUUUUAACGACCUGAUGAGGACAUCAGGUAAAUUAAAGGAUUUUGG